rnacentral:misc_RNA from 1 species
GAAAUGCGAUAAGUAAUGUGAAUUGCAGAAUUCAGUGAAUCAUCGAAUCUUUGAACGCACCUUGCGCUCCUUGGUAUUCCUUGGAGCAUGCCUGUUUGAGUAUCAUGAAAUCUUCAAAGUAAAUCUUUUGUUAACUCAAUUGGUUUCUACUUUGGUAUUGGAGGUCUUUGCAGCUUCACACCUGCUCCUCUUUGUUCAUUGGCUGGAUCUCAGUGUUAUGCUUGGUUCCACUCGGCGUGAUAAGUUAUCUAUCGCUGAGGACACUGUAAAAGGUGGCCAAGGUAAAUGCAGAUGAACCGCUUCUAAUAGUCCAUUGACUUGAACAAUACUUUUAUGAUCUGAUCUCAAAUCAGGUAGGACUACCCGCUGAACUUAAGC